rnacentral:rRNA from 1 species
AGCAUGCGGCUUAAUUCGACACAACGCGAAGAACCUUACCAAGGCUCGACAUAUACAGGAAUACGGCAGAGAUGUCGUAGCGGUAAAACGUCUGUGUACAGGUGGUGCAUGGUUGUCGUCAGCUCGUGUCGUGAGAUGUUGGGUUAAGUCCCGCAACGAGCGCAACCCUCGUUCUGUGUUGCCAGCAUUUAGUUGGGGACUCACAGGAGACUGCCGGGGUUAACUCGGAGGAAGGUGGGGAUGACGUCAAAUCAUCAUGCCCCUUAUGUCUUGGGCUGCACGCAUGCUACAAUGGCUGGUACAAAGGGCUGCAAUACUGCAAAGUGGAGCGAAUCCCAAAAAGCCAGUCUCAGUUCGGAUUGGGGUCUGCAACUCGACCCCAUGAAGUCGGAGUUGCUAGUAAUCGUAGAUCAGCAACGCUACGGUGUAUACGUUCCCGGGGCUUGUACACACCGCCCGUCACAUCACGAAAGUCGGAACACCCAAAGUCAGUGCCCAACCGCAAGGAGG